CCGCGUUGGUUGGCGUGGGGGCACCCUGAUCCAGCAAUGCCGCGAUGUGUGAAGAAGGCCUUCGGGUUGUAAAGCACUUUUAUCGGGAACGAAACAUUGUCGGCCAAUACCCGGGGGGACUGACGGUACCCGAGGAAUAAGCACCGGCUAACUCCGUGCCAGCAGCCGCGGUAAUUA
rnacentral:rRNA from 1 species